AACAUGUCAACCAUGGUAGUUUAUUAAUGAAAUUAAUUUUUUUUAUAUGAGAUGUUGCUUAAAUAAGAGGAAUUAUGUGUAAUCUCCUAACAUCAGUUAUGGAGACUAAAGUAACAAGUAAGACCAGCAGUUUGAAAGCUCUUUUGUUAAGAGCAUGGAGAGAACGUUGGAGUGAUUUACAAUGGGGUAUUAACAUUAAAACUAUUUUACCUAGAGGUGUUAGUGGAGAUGUAUAUAAUUUAGCAGACUGCAUAUUGCAGCAAGCAUUAGUAGGACUUGGACCAAAUCAAUUAGUAUUAUCAUAUCUGAAACAUUCUUUAAGUUCUCAGUUGGUCUCUUAUGCCGCUGUAUUACAACGAAUAAGCAAAUAUGAUGCAUUUCAUAAACCCCAUUGCAUUCUAAGUCUUUUAGAAUUUUUAGAAUCCAUUCAAAUAGGAAUUACAUGCCGUGGUAAGCCAGAGGAAGAUCUUUUAGCUGCUGCAGUAUUAUCCAUAGUAAAUUGGUUACUGCAAUGUUAUUUACAUACUCUAACAAAAAUGCCUCAAAACAAUCCAUUAACUCCGCAACCAACAGAAUUGAUGGAUAAACCUGCCAGUAUAUUAAAACAGAUGCUUAGCUCUGAUUUUCUGUGUGCUAUGAUGUACUUAGCAAAAUAUGAUGAUAAAGAUUUGUACAUAGAAGUUGUAAAAAAAUGCCAAGAGAUUGAGGCUCUGUUGAAAACUAGUAGCCUAAAGUCUUCUAUUCAAAUUGAAGAUUCUUUAAAAAAACUGUGCAAUUUAGAGGAUGAUUGUUUAACUUUAUCCCCUGAAAUGUCACAAAUGGAAUCUAUAACUCAUUGCCUGCAACCUUUAUUUGCUGUUCAAGUGUUAUUAAAUCCUAGCACAGAAACUUCUGUAUUUGUUAACCAGAUGCUGAUGGUCCAAAGACUUAAAAAUUAUACAAAUACAAGAUUAUAUUGCGAAAUAAUCCGUGCAUGUUUAAUGUGCUUACACAAUGUUACAAGUACAAUCAAUGAAUCGCAAUGGGGUGCUUUUACGUUUUUAAAAGUACCUCUUAUAUUAAAAGAAUUACAUGUAGCACAUUCAAAUACAGAUGAUAAAUUAGAAUAUUCACAAGAUAUUCUAGAUGCAUUCGAAUUAUUACUCCAAUUCACUCCACUUCUUGAUAUAGUAGAUACUGCGUGUUCUUGUAAUAGUGUAGAAUGUUUGCUCAAUGCUCUGCAGAAAGUAAACUUAGUCACAGAAAAGCAAACUAAACAUUUAAGUAGCAGAAGAGAAGGUGUUACCGCGAAUUUACAAAAAUUAGAAAUUUCUAUAGCCACAUCUUCAAUUCCUAAAGUAAUUGUACGUGCAGAGCCGACUUUAUCGGGUAUUUUAAAAACUCUUAACGCAGAUUACACAAAGAUUCACGAGGCAUUGCUUAGCAUGUUAUAUCAAGUUUUAACAGGAAACAGUUUUGAACUUAUAUUAGCAGUAGCUACUGUAGAAGGAAAACUUAAAACUUUUGUUACCAAAUUAAUUAAGUUCAAUGAAUGCAGUAAGCAAAUUAAUGAACCUGUUCCACCAAAGACUGCAGCAAAAAGAGCGAUGUUAUUCGAUAUAUCAUUUCUUAUGCUAUGUUCUAUAGUUCAAACUUAUGGAUCUGAUGCUGUAUUAGAAGAAGGGGAAGGAGAUUCCUUUUUUGAACAAUGGGUACGUGAAUAUAUGCCCGAACGAAAUCAACCAAAGUCUCCCCAAAAAAUGUUACAAAAUAUUGAUCCUGCAAGAGUAGAUGCAUUAUUAGCACAAAUCAAUUCUCCAGAUCCUGAUUUGAAAUCUAGCAAUAUAAAAUGGCAUAUCGCGUGUCAAUCUGCUAUGGGUGCUGUAAAAGAGCUUCUCUGCGCGUGGGAAAGUGAUGUACUUGGAGCAAGUGAUGUUAAAAGAGCUCUGGAUGGUUUACGUGCAACUGCUUGCUGUUUACCAGUCUGUGCGGCAGCUUGGCUUUGUGCACAUAUGAGUAUUACUCAUCAAGAUGCUCUUUUAAAACCUUUGAAUAUGGUACAACAUUUCUUAACACCACUCCCCGGCGAUGAAAUGCAGGAUAAUCUCAAAGAAUUAUCGAGUUUGAUGUCACAAAUCAUUCGCAAAAUGCAGUAUGAUGUUCAUCCACCUACUCAAUCGAAAACGAAAGUGCUUUCAAUGUCUCACAGUAUUAUAUCAAGACAACCUAUAUUGGAACAAUUGGAAACUGUGUGGGGAAACAUAAAUCAGCGAGGUUGGAUAAAUAUUCAAGCGACACAAUCUUUAGAAUCUUUAUUAAAUACUGGUGGUUCUUUAUGGUUUGUAACAAAUAUAGUAAAAGAAGUAUUGAAAUAUCGAUACCAAGAAGAACUGGAUCAAGCAGUAGAUUUAGCGUUUGCCAUUUUUCAUCUUGAUAUCGAGAAUUGUACCUUAGAUCUCAUCAACCAUAUCAUUCCACAAUAUUUAUAUAACUCGUUACAGAGCGAAGAACUCGUAGAACCGCAAUCUUCAGUGUUAGCAAAGUUAUGCGUAUAUUGUAUAUUUUCUACAUUAGAAUACAAUAAUUCGAGUCCUUGUCGAGGAAAUAGUAGAAAACGAGUACGUCGGGAUUUAGAUGCGGAAGAACUCGAUGCUCUUGGUGUACCUGCGAAUAAAAUUUUACGAUUAAACGAAGCUGGAGAUAGCAAUCCUAUAUUUGGCUCACAAAGUCCACAAGCUCAAGGAUCGACCAAUGGGCAGAAAUCAGUUGUGUUGAGAGAUCCUCUUCUAUCAGCAUUAAAUGGAUUGUUUACUAUAUUCACGUUCCUAGCUGGUAGAGAUGGUGAAGUGUCUCAACAAACUCAUUUUAUACUUCAAUUUCUACGUUUAAUGGUACAAUGUGGAAAAGAUAGGACUCGUAUUGUAUUACAGGGAAUGCCACAAACAUUGGUACCUUGCCUUUUGAAAGCAUUACCCGAAUUGUUUACAACUGAUAUUCUAUUAAGGUUUUACGACAUUCAGACAAUAGUUGGAAGAAAAGCAACGGCACGUGAUUUAUGUAUGCUGAGAAAUAUCAAUCUAAAACCUUCGAAAUAAUUUUAGAUGGAUAUUUAAUUUAAACAAUAAAUUAACUACACAAUUGAGAAAAGCACGAGUAGUUCCCAAGAAAAUGUGGUUACAACCAUGGAUGCCAAGAGGGAUCCAUCCUGCAUAAAUUAUCAUGACUAUUAGCUGCU